UUGGUAGAGUUGGAAACAUACCAGGGGAUUCCAAUUCAAUCCCAUCAAGGUGGCAUGUGCCAAUGCCAUCUCACUAUUCCAAGUGAUCAAUUUCAGUUCACAAUUGAUCAUAAUGAAAGGACUAAGAGUCAAAGGGAGCACAUAAACAAGUCUAGUAUCUGCUAACACUAACCGAUAGAAUAAAUAAAGGGGAGAGUGAUCCAACAUGGGAAGUGAGAUACUCAGCAGACUCAUAGAAUGGCGGAUGUCCUAAAUAGCACUCUGGCCUCAGAAUCAGCCCUAAAGGCACUCGGAUCUGGCUGAAAAGCCCAUGAGAGUAUUUCAGGCAUGGAAAGCCAAGGCACUCUGGCAAAAAGAUCUCUGUGAGUGAGAUCCCAGUGGAAAGAACAGGUCUUCAAAGAGGGAGGUACCUUUCUCUGAAGGGAGGAGAGAACCUCCACUUUGACUAUGACCUUGUCUAAACAAGAUAAGAGUCGGAGAACUCAAGGGGCUUCCAUAGCCUUGGAAACUCAUGACUGGAGCAUAGGGAGAUUACUGAUGCCAUAGACAGGAGUGUCAAUUGGUAAAGUCAACAACAGGAGUCACUGUGCACUUACUCCUCAUGUAGGAUCUCUGUCCUUAAUGUGCUGUGCAUUGAGAUUUAAUGCUAUAACGAGUACUCAAAUAAUAUAUUUCACUUCGUGUUUCUAUGGGGGUGCAAACUGUUGAAAUCUUUACUUAAUGCAUACUAAACUGAUCCUCUAAAAAAAAAAAAAAAAAAAAAAGAAAAAAGAAAAGAAAAGAAAAGAAACUAUCAACUCCCAACUUGACUCUCACUGGGAUUAAACAUGACAAUAGGUCUGAUCUGAUUUCAUCAUCAUUAAAAAAAAAUCAUCUA